UUUGCCGAUGUCGUCUUGUUCGUCUAUCGAAUCCAUCAAGUCCCAAGUUUCGGUAAUGAGAUCAAGGACUUGUUUGGUGAUCACAAACGCGUUGUCCGGCACCGUCAACUCUGUCCCUCCGGUGUUCAUCGAUACCCAUGUCAGGGCAACGGCGAAACAUAGUAGUGUUUUAUUGAAAAGCAACAUUUCCAAGCUAAUCCAACAUGUACACUGCGUUAUGCAGCAUAGCGUAUCGGCUGUAGAAACGUCAUCAUAUAGGCGUUAUCGGAAAUCUCCGAACUCGGUCAGAAUGUAACAACAACAACAAUACAUUUAUAACGCCGGCACCUAUAUCUCGUUAUCGACGAACAAACUGAUUAUGACGUCGUCGAUCGUUUCGAAGUAAUACUACGGCAUGCCAGCAUAUAAGUAUAUAACAUACGGCCAGGCUUAAGUGGAAGUUAUACAUUCAAUUUUCCAGCGUUAAAACAUACCUAAACAAAAUGCGUUUUACUCGCUUUGAGAUGAUUUUAGAGCAAAAAUACCUAAAACAAAAACGAAGAUGAUAAGAUAUUGGAGACAAUGUCCUGAUAUCCUUUUUUUUUAUAAACCUAAUAUUUAUUUAAGAUCUCAAUUUUUUUUACUUUUUUUAAAUAUCUAUAACUUUUUUUUACGUUAUUAAUUUUAAAAUUAGAGAUGACAUUUGAAUUUAUAAUAAGUGUUUUUUUCUCUAAAACAACCAUGAACCUAGUAAAAUACAUUCUGUGUAGCUGUGUAGUAUUUCCGGAGUUCACUACGUCAGUUUGCUUUGCAUUUACCAACGAAAACAUUCAUUGUCUAA